rnacentral:rRNA from 1 species
GAUGAACGCUGGCGGCGUGCCUAAUACAUGCAAGUCGAGCGAACAGACGAGGAGCUUGCUCCUCUGACGUUAGCGGCGGACGGGUGAGUAACACGUGGAUAACCUACCUAUAAGACUGGGAUAACUUCGGGAAACCGGAGCUAAUACCGGAUAAUAUAUUGAACCGCAUGGUUCAAUAGUGAAAGACGGUUUUGCUGUCACUUAUAGAUGGAUCCGCGCCGCAUUAGCUAGUUGGUAAGGUAACGGCUUACCAAGGCAACGAUGCGUAGCCGACCUGAGAGGGUGAUCGGCCACACUGGAACUGAGACACGGUCCAGACUCCUACGGAAGGCAGCAGUAGGGAAUCUUCCGCAAGGGGCGAAAGCCUGACGGAGCAACGCCGCGUGAGUGAUGAAGGUCUUCGGAUCGUAGAACUCUGUUAUUAGGGAAGAACAAAUGUGUAAGUAACUAUGCACGUCUUGACGGUACCUAAGCAGAAAGCCACGGCUAACUACGU